AUUGAACGCUGGCGGCAGGCUUAACACAUGCAAGUCGAGCGGAGAGAGGUAGCUUGCUACUGAUCUUAGCGGCGGACGGGUGAGUAAUGCUUAGGAAUCUGCCUAUUAGUGGGGGACAACAUUUCGAAAGGAAUGCUAAUACCGCAUACGUCCUACGGGAGAAAGCAGGGGAUCUUCGGACCUUGCGCUAAUAGAUGAGCCUAAGUCGGAUUAGCUAGUUGGUGGGGUAAAGGCCUACCAAGGCGACGAUCUGUAGCGGGUCUGAGAGGAUGGUCCGCCACACUGGGACUGAGACACGGCCCAGACUCCUACGGGAGGUAGCAGUGGGGAAUAUUGGACAAUGGGCGCAAGCCUGAUCCAGCCAUGCCGCGUGUGUGAAGAAGGCCUUAUGGUUGUAAAGCACUUUAAGCGAGGAGGAGGCUACUUUAGUUAAUACCUAGAGAUAGUGGACGUUACUCGCAGAAUAAGCACCGGCUAACUCUGUGCCAGCAGCCGCGGUAAAAC
rnacentral:rRNA from 1 species